CAAAGACCAGACGGAUGCUCACCCGACGUCGCUGCAGGGCCUCCGGACCAGCAAAACGCCCUGGAAAGACUGCAGCAGCUGGAACAGGAAGUGGUUGGAGGAGAGCAGGCCAGGAACAAAGAGCUGAAGCAGAGACAGAGGCAGAGGAGGAACCUGGCCGACCAGAGGAAGGUCCACCUUAUCCGCGCUCUGUCGGAGGACGGCGAGGACAGCGAACAAGUGCUGUUGAGCGUCUACAACUCCAUCCAGGAAGAGGUCCAUGCCAAAAGCCACAUUCUGGUCAAGGUCCAGGGCAAGCUGAAAGCGGCCAAACUGGAGAUCCGCGACCUGCAGGCGGAGUUCGAGGUGGAGCGGGACGACUACCUGGCGACGAUCCGGCGCCUGGAGAGGGAGGGCCAGUUGCUGCACGGCCUGCUGGAGCGCAUGGCGCCCCUGGUGCGCCGCGACUGCAACUACAGCCACCUGGACCGCUUGAAGAAAGAGGCGGUCUGGGACGAGGACGGCGCCACCUGGCGGCUGCCCGAUGUCACGGUGCAGAAAACGACGCUGCCUUCAGCAGCAGCGGCUCUGAAACUUUCAGCUGGCAGAGGAUCAGCUGUUGA
rnacentral:lncRNA from 1 species